GCUGUCCCGGGCACUUUGCACUCCAGGCAGCGGCUGGAUCCCCCCAUAAGCAGGGGUGCAAGCUCCGUGGCCGCUGCCUUGCACACCCAGCUUCAUUUGCCCUGGCUGCCCGCCUCUGAGCCCAGUUCCAGUUCUGGCCCCGUCUGGAGCUCUGCUGCGCAUCGCCUCGGUGAGAAACGCUGAUCCGCGGUGAUUUGGGGGGGGGUAAGGGUAAGGUUAGGGGCAGAGGGCUGGCCACUGGCCAGGUAUUCCUGGUGGGACCUCACCCUGCCCCGCCUCCGCUCCCGGCAGUCCGAGCCCCGCGGCGCCCGGUGCCGAACCGCCCCGUACCUCCGCGCCCAGGAGGGCGGAAACACCCGAAUGCCCGCCGCCACCGCUGAAGGGUCUCGCUCGUCUCAAUGGUGGUCCCAGCACUCACCCCCCACCGCCGCCGCAGGGAAACACGCCCGGAGCGCCGCCGUGUUUCUCCCGACCACUACGCCCGUGCUCCUGGUGCGCGUCUGGAAACGCCGCCGGCCGAACGGUCGCGACGGGAAUCGCGCACGGAACUGGAAAGAAACCGUGCCGCAGAGCACAAUGCAGGGGGUGUGCGGCUCUGGAAAAAAGCACCUCCCGCCGCGAGUACUGCUGACGAACCUAGGAUGGCCGCCCGGAAGGCACGUACCAGGAAACUACACCUGUCGGCGCGCCACGGGACGCGGUGGUGUCUGGCGUCUGACCAUACGCGCACGCCGUAAGAGCUCUUCCCGCUCCACCGCUCUUUCCCGCUGCGGAACACCUUCACUGCCUGAGUGA
rnacentral:lncRNA from 1 species